GGGUAUAUACACAAAAGAACCUUGCCUCCCUCCUGUAAAUUGGAGCGAGACAGCAACCUAAGUAAGAUCUUAUCCCUUUUACAGAAGAAUAUGGGAAAACUAGUCUUGGGUCAUUGAACUGAAAUGUAUUUCAGUUAAAUAGCAUGGUGUACAAAUUCCUUCCAGUGUUUCUUUUCAACCUAUUGGAAGCAUAGGCACAAAAUUUGACCUUUCAUACAUUGACACAGAGUAUUCCCUUCCUCCCAAAGUUUCCCCUAGUUGAUGUCAUCCACACAGUCGGGAUAACAGAUAUAUUUUCUCAGAUAAUGAAUCAUUUCAACCAUACUUCAGCAACACAAGGAAAAAGGACAAAGUGCUGCUUCUGCUCCAGAACAAAAUUCAACCCUUAAACAUCGAUGUCUACUUCCAUUUAGGAUAUAUUUAUUCCAGCUAAAGUUUCAGCAUUGUGCUGAGGAAUGAUGAAAAACAUUGUCUAUGAACAGAGACCAAGAAACUUCCUGAACUUUGCAUCAUUCAGUAAGUUAUGUUUGAGGUCACAAGGUGCAGACAUGUUGCAUGAUUCUUCUUGUUAGCCAGCUUAUUAACCGAAGAGGCCAAUCACCAGCUCGUGAAGCUGUGCUAGCAUGCAAUUCCUUUGUAUAAGUCUUGGUGAUUAUCUUCACUCGUGACAGACAGCAUACACAGAGAUAGGACAUUUUCCCCAUCAGAAACAGGGCAGUUCCUCUUGAAGAUAAACUGAUUGUGGUUGUCUGGCUUGGGAUGAGAACUGUGCCAGGCACUCUGAAUGUCCUGACAAGAUAACAGAUUUCUGUGGAUGGGAUGCUGCCUGAGGAUCACAAUGAAUAGUACUUUGAACAGCUACUGCUACUGACUGCUGUCUCCUUCUGAUACCAAAAAAGCUCUGCCAAAAAGGCUUCUUUUUGCCUACACUUUAUCCCAGUGUUUGGGUUUCUGUCCCUCCCAGCAUCACCAGCAUAUGGAGUGAGCACAGGAGGGGGGGACAUGCUACAGGAUUGAGUUCUGGCAGCAAGCUGGGACCAAUAAUGUGAGUAGAAGUUCCUAGGAACAUGAAAUAACAGUUCCAGAAGGGUAAACAACAGCAAUUAGGCACAUAACAGAGACAUCUUUCAGGUGUGUCAGAGAAACCCUACUGUUAUUUCCUAUAGAGCUGAAGGAAUUAUAGACUUCUAGAAUAUUUUUGUUGUUUUUGUUGUUGUUUUCUCCAGUUUGGACAAUUGUUUUUUCUUCCACUAAAAGAAGGAAUUGCUUUGGUAGAACUGGAGACCAGAGUGUCUACAGGAAUCAGCAUACUUGCGGGCUUGCUGUUUCAAUAUUGAUCUCUUCUGUUUUAUUGCAUGAAGAUGGUAAACAAAACAUUGCUGACUGCAUCAUCAACACAUUUCUUUUUUCUCCUCUCUGCCACUUCACGUUGAACACGAAACCAAAACUAAACUGAGAAAAGGCUCUAGGAAAGCACUGAGAAUUGGUUAAUGACAAAGAGUCUAUGUUGCAUGUUCUACAGUGCACUUUUUAGGAUAAACUGUAUUCUAAGGGGAUGUAAGAGACAGGGUUGGAUACUAAAUAAUGGGUGAUUAUAGAGAAGAUGAAGUUUGAUGCUUCUCAGAUCUACAAAGCAAAAGGACAUGUGAUAGUAGCUGCAAAAUCAAGCCAGGGAAAUUUGGCCUGGAUGUAAGAAAAGACCUUCUCAUUGUGAGGUGGCGAAGGAUGAACAGGUGCCCAGAGAGUCUAGAGAAUCUCUGUCUUGGAGAAUAUUCAAAAGCUACCUGGAGACAGCCUUCAGCAAUCACGCCUAGCUCCCAUGUUAGCCCUGCUUUGAGCAGGAGGUCAGACUAGAAGAUUUUCCAGAGAUCCUUCCAAGCUACAUUAGUUCUCUGUUCUUUGUGACAUGAAAACCUCUGCAUUUCAUGAAAGAAAGGUGAGUCUGUGUUUCUUCUCGAGGUGUCACUCUGGGAUAUGACUCAGCCAGGGAUGUGAAUGCUUACAAAAUAUGGCAGUUCCAAGCCUCUUGCAACAUAUUUUGCCUGGUUCUGGCCUCAUGCACACUGGACCUGCAAGAGCAGGCCCAGGGAGAGGUACACUUAAAGGCAGAGCAGCUGAUGAAGACCCAAAAGACGUUGUCUGAGGUGUGAAAACAUGACAGGGUACUUUGGUGUCUGUGCACUGUGCUGUGAUCCAUUCAAGCAUGUGGACAUGACCUGCUGUGACGAUCCAUGUGAGAGGGGCUGCCUGUCCUGCAGCCAUGGCUUCCAUCUCUCUUUGUUCUUUUCUUAGGAGGGGACAGGGGCCAAGGAAAACCCACCUGGCUGAGGUUGUUGGCACAGAACACUGUUGACAGACCAGGGCUGACCUCCCUGCUGAGACUCUCAGUAGAGAAGGAAGCAAAAGGCAUACGUGGUUUCAUAUGCCUUUGGCUUUUCUUGGACUAACUUGAUCCCCAAAGCUUGCAGGAAAGAAGAGCUGGGGAGACAAACUUCUCCAAAAGUAAAUGCCGCCUGGAGACUUGGCUAAGAAUUAGACAGACACGUUACUGAGCCAAACUGUAAAUCUAAAAUUUUGAAAUAAAGUUCGGAAUUUUCCUCAGAAAAGCUUGGCCACCAGGAGGUCUGACUGUGAGGUCAGUGCCAGAAGAGGCAGAAAAAACUGGACUGAACUUCAACAAGCAAGACAUUUCCUGAUUGCCAGAUAUUGACAAGCCUUAAUUCAGCCCCUCUCCUUGAACAGACUGAAGUAGUUAUCGGGAAAAGACACCUACUGUAAAUCUGUGGGGAGUUUGGUGCAUGGUUCAAGCCUGCUUCUUACAAAGGCACUUCCGAGGAGUCAGUCAGGAGCAGCAUGCUUCUCUCAGUAGCAGCAGAGGCUUCUGCAGUUGAGAAAACAAAGUUGAAAACAAACAGCUGCAUAAUGUAUUGCAGUAAGGCUUUCACGGCAAAGAGAUAGUGGGUCAUAAACAAGUCCCCCAGUAACUGGAGGAUAUCCAACAAGGCACAAGGCCUAAAAAGAACUAUUUGUUUUUUCACUCUUCAUGAGAUGAAAUGCACACUGCAGGAAAAUCCCGUGCAAAUCAACAUAGUGUCAUGGAAACCAAGAGACCAUCAAUAAAAGUAAUAAAUGGAAAAGGUUAUAAUAAUAUAUACUUAGCACUUUACAUUCUCAAAGUGCUGACAGGACAUUAAUCCUCAAAAUACCCUUCUGAGGGCAAAGGCAGCUUUAACAUUUUUAGGUGGGCUUGUGAAACAGUUUUUGAUCUCAAAUUGAUCUUCCCUGACUUCUGUUCACUAGGAUCACACUUUUCUGAAUUAAACGGAAUUAGAGAAUCUUCACACGAGAUAACAAGAUACUUCACUGUUUCUCCUCAUCUGACCAUGUGAAGCAAAGCCCAGAGUCUGCUAGACUACGCUUUCAUGCCAAUUCUGUAAAACAGUUUUUAAGCAGUCUUAGAGGAGAGAGGACUUCUUCCCUGGGGAACUCUAAGGAUUUGCACAGAGGUAAACCCAGCCAUGCCUACAUGUGGUACAGCGCUCUGCCACUGCAUUACUUCAAGAAGAGCAGCAAGAACUUCAGAGCCACCCCCAGGAGCCUGAUUCUGCAUCUGCUGGAGAUUUUCCAAAUAGCAGUUUUGCUCUGCAGAGCAAAUGAAUAGUUCAGUAACAUUUCCUCUGUAGCCUAAAGAGCCAGAUAAAGGCAGCAAGGAGAGAUUUAAUUUAUGCUUCAGAAAUUCACAACUGUGUUCCACUAAUGAAGUGGUCUGAUGCUGUGUGCUUUUCUGGCUGAAAAUACAAAGGCUGAUACGCUGUGCUAAUUUUAUUAUCAGGAGUUUAAGGUGUAAUAUACGUAUCCUCUAACUGAUAUUUUCCUAGAGAGCAAAAUGAAUCUUGUGAAGUGGCACAAUCCGGACAGUCUUUCACUGGAGGUGGAUAAAGGAAAAGUGAAAGUGGUGGUAUCACUGUUCAUGAAAGAUACAUUCCUCAUUUCCUAUUUUCAUAAGUACAAGGGCUACUGAAAGCAGUGCCUCCUAUUUUGUUAUGUUCACUUGUGACAUCAGAGGUGGAUCAUGGUGGUAUGGCAGUAGGGGUUGUGCCUUCUUGCCAGUAUCCCAUUGCAUUUUGUUGCCAUGUGAAAGAUGGCAGCUGAGGGGCAGUCUGAUCAGAUGGUGACUGACAUGCGAGCUCAUAUGAAGCAAAGGGGUAUAACUGAAUCCCACCUUGUACAAGAGACUGCACCCACUGACUAUCCUGAAAAACAAUGCUUAGUAGUUAAGAAUUUCCUCUAUCAAAUAGUUUUGUUGUUCUCUUUGUAUCUCUUGCUGUUUAGUGGAAAAUUUUGUGGAAAUAAGUGGAAAGCAUUACUUUUCAAUGAAUCUGUGUAGACACCAUGAAAAUUCUUGCAAAAAUCACUUUACAACACUGAAAGAUAAGCAUGAGUGACAUCCACACACACACACACAUACGCACACAAAACAAAAACAAAAACAAGCCCACCAACCCAAAAUGAGUUUCAAGUAUCUCUGUUAAUUCUGAAGUGAAUGCCAAAACUUUUGCAGCAUUGUGAGCAAAUUACUUACAGUAUGUGCUUUUAUAUUCACGCAUCCUAAACUGGACAGGAAUGGUAAAUCACCAACUACGAAUACAUAUUUGUUGCUUACUGGAGACAUGACAGUACGUAAGAAAAGCACACCAAGCAUUGAGAUCUCUUGACAUAGGAGCUUUCCCCCUUACAAGCCUCCUCUCCUGAUGCUUGCUUGCUUCCAGACUCUUUGUACAUUGUGUUUCCUCUUUUUUCCCCUGCCCACAGCAAUUCCCACAUAACAGUGGAAAAGUUUUUAUUUCCCUAUGUGCAGAAAUACAGACCCACUCAUCUGUCAUGUCAUGGUGUGGAAGCUGGUGAUGUUAUACAAGUGUAAAGGUGGUGUGAAAGGGCAAUUUGGCUCUCUGUAGUCUUCAUCUGUUCAAGCUCAUACUAGUACACUGAGUUCCAAAUAAAUAGAAGCUCCUCUCCAGCUGGUGUUUUGGUAGAAAAGGUGGUUGAGCAACCCAGUCUGGAUUUUCCUACUUCUGAAGAUGCCUUGAACAUUACAUACACUUUCCUAAUAUGUUUUCAGUGUCGACUAUAGCACAGCAGUGGGUGGAAUAACAAAUAGGUAUUCUUUGGGAAUUAAUUGCCACUGUCAGGGUUCAGAAGAGUUCAGAGCAAGUAUUAUAUUAGUGUUUAUUCACUGGUGCUUUCCACUGUUCACCAGAUUUUUCCUCUGCCCAGUCCAUGCAGAUACACACUCAGAAGAGAAUUCCCUUUGCUUUGCUGCCAGAGCUCCCCCUCGGUUUUAUUGCCCACAGAGUAAGUUUGCACAGUGAUGGAGGAAUACAGGGACUCUGAGUGGUAUUUUGCAGAUUCAAAUUUCACUCCUGGUCCUGUUACUGACCUCCUGUGCCCAUGUUUCUAUGCAGGCUCUUUGGAGAAAGCACAUGAAGGUUAAUGUGGUGUGCAUCAUGCAACUUAAUGUUAUGGAUGAGAUUAUGUUGUUUUUUGUUUGUUUUUUUUUUUUUGUUUUUUUAAACUAAAUCACAUAUUUCUGUUUAAUAGGUUGUAAAGCAACAAAUGGGUAAUAUGUCAAACCCACCUACUCCUUAACCCCUCCCUAGCAGUAAAUAUAUUGUAAAAAUGAAAAGGGAAUAUGAGGGUUGAAACCUAUCAAUGGUAAACUUACGCCAUUACAGAGGCUUCUGGAUGUUUUAUCUCGCCACAGAGUGGACUCUCAUCCAGAAAUUCAGGUGGCUUCUGUUAAUAGCUAGAGCACAAUGAAAAAUCUAACUGAAUCAUCUGAAAGACUAUUUUAAUGAAUGACUACAUUAGCAAGUAUUAUCAGCUUCCUGCUCAGACUAGGAGGAACUUAUUCUUCUAAUGCAACUACCUCUUUUUUUUUUUUUCUUCCCCACCCCCCCCAUUUUCUGCCUCCUCUCGUCUUCAUUCUCUCGAGUUUCACAAGUGUACAGUAACAAUUAAUUAUGACUCAAACCAUGGAGGUUAACACUGUACUAUUAAUAUAACCUUUCUGGGGAAUUAUAAACUACUUUUGUAUUCACAGUGUAUAUAUGUAGCAAUAUUUAUUCAUGUAAUAUUCAUCAGGAUAUGAUGAGCUGAAUAGAGAAGGUUGUAUUAGUGUGGAUAAAUUAAGAACAGAUGAAUAUCUCACCUUAGAAAUCAAACUGAAUGCGGACUUUUUUUUCAGUUUGGAGGCUUUAAAGUGAUCUUAACAUUUUUCUGCUGUUCAUCUCUUUACUUAUUUAUAUAAUUCUUGUUACAUUCCCACUACAUUUCCAGGCUUCAUUCAAUGAUAGCACUAUGUGAUAAAAAGUGAAACUAGAAGUAUCAUUCAAAUCACCUUAACAAGAAAUUUGCAGAACAGAGAAAGUACUGUAAAGGCUUGUUGAAAAAAAAUUCCUAAUGUUGUUAUUUGCAUUUCUGUCAUUUAUUUUGAGGGAAACAUGACUGCAUCUCCUACCUAGAAUGUUCUUCAGACAUAAUGAAAUUUCACAAAACUCCCCAUAGACUUAUUACAGUAUGACAAUUAAGUUGUUCUAAAUUCUUAUCAAUAACUAAUUCUCAGACAACCUUACACAUCACAUCUUUGAACAGACAGGAAGAACAAACUGCUAAUUAAUUCAUAUAUAAGUACUGAAAUGUCACUUCAUAGGUGGUACUGGAAAGAACCAGUAUUAUAUGCAGAUGCUUCCAGAAGUAAUGCCUCCUAUUUAAUUCUAUGUUAACUACAACAGAUACAAAGAACACAUUAAUAUCAUUUGAUAC